GAGGAACUCGCAGCCAUUUUGUUGGAUACGAGACCGGGAUUCUGGACGAGGAAGUCACCGGGCUGGGGACCUGGAUCGGAACAGGAGCAGCUGUAAUGAAAAGGAUACCGAGCAGGAAUCUGGAUAUGGAGCUGGGAUAUUGAAAAUAAGGCUGAGGAUUGGAUAGGCACAGAGGAAAAAGCAGUGGCGUUCCGUCGAUGUGCCGUGGGGUGAGUUUUUGAAUUUUAUUCAUAACCAAUAUACAUGUUGGUGCUUUUUUUAAGCGGUUUUUAGGUGCAUUUUAAAAUAGAUCGGAUCAAUU